UGGGGAAUAUUGGACAAUGGGCGAAAGCCUGAUCCAGCAAUGCCGCGUGAGUGAUGAAGGCCUUAGGGUCGUAAAGCUCUUUUACCCGGGAUGAUAAUGACAGUACCGGGAGAAUAAGCUCCGGCUAACUCCGUGCCAGCAGCCGCGGUAAUACGGAGGGAGCUAGCGUUGUUCGGAAUUACUGGGCGUAAAGCGUACGUAGGCGGUUAUUCAAGUCAGAGGUGAAAGCCCGGGGCUCAACCCCGGAACUGCCUUUGAAACUAGAUAGCUAGAAUCUUGGAGAGGUCAGUGGAAUUCCGAGUGUAGAGGUGAAAUUCGUAGAUAUUCGGAAGAACACCAGUGGCGAAGGCGACUGACUGGACAAGUAUUGACGCUGAGGUACGAAAGCGUGGGGAGCAAACAGGAUUAGAUACCCCUGUAGUCCCUGAGCGGGCUGGCAAGGCGCAU
rnacentral:rRNA from 1 species